UACGUAGGAAGCGAGCGUUGUUCGGAAUUACUGGGCGUAAAGAGUGUGUAGGCGGUGCUCUAAGUUUGGUGUGAAAUCUCCCGGCUUAACUGGGAGGGUGCGCCGGAAACUGGAGUGCUCGAGCGUGGGAGAGGAAAGCGGAAUUCCUGGUGUAGCGGUGAAAUGCGUAGAUAUCAGGAGGAACACCUGCGGUGUAGACGGCUUUCUGGACCAUUGCUGACGCUGAGACACGAAAGCGUGGGUAGCAAACAGG
rnacentral:rRNA from 1 species